GUAAAGCAAGCACACAAACACGAUACAUCAUAAAGACAAUCUUGGUUCGACGUGUGUGUUUUACUUUUCUUCUUCCUGCUUUUUGUUUUUUGCUUUUUUUUUUGACAGGCAACCUUUUGCGUUCGCUCAAA
rnacentral:ribozyme from 12 species